GAUGAACGCUGGCGGCGUGCCUAAUACAUGCAAGUCGAACGAGGCCCUUUGUAUUCGUAUGAAGGUGUCCUAGUGGCGAACGGGUGAGUAACACGUAGGUAACCUACCCCGAAGAGGGGGAUAACCCCGGGAAACUGGGGCUAAUACCCCAUGUGCUCCACGGUAUUAGAUGACCAUGGAGUAAAGGAGUAAUCCGCUUUGGGAGGGGCCUGCGGCCCAUCAGCUAGUUGGUAGGGUAAUGGCCUACCAAGGCUAUGACGGGUAGGGGGCCUGAGAGGGUGGUCCCCCACACUGACACUGAAACACGGGUCAGACACCUACGGGUGGCAGCAGUAGGGAAUAUUGCACAAUGGGCGAAAGCCUGAUGCAGCAACGCCGCGUGCGCGAUGAAGGCCUUCGGGUUGUAAAGCGCUUUUCUGGGGGAAGAGAAAGGGCGGUACCCCAGGAAUAAGUCUCGGCUAACUACGUG
rnacentral:rRNA from 1 species